rnacentral:rRNA from 1 species
CGGACGGGUGAGUAACGCGUGAGGAUCUGCCGACAGGACGGGGACAACAGUUGGAAACGACUGCUAACACCCGAUGUGCCGAGAGGUGAAAUAUUUAUAGCCUGUCGAUGAGCUCGCGUCUGAUUAGCUAGUUGGUUAGGUAAUGGCUGGCCAAGGCGACGAUCAGUAACUGGUCUGAGAGGAUGACCAGUCACACUGGGACUGAGACACGGCCCAGACUCCUACGGGAGGCAGCAGUGGGGAAUUUUCCGCAAUGGGCGCAAGCCUGACGGAGCAAUACCGCGUGAGGGAGGACGGCUCUUGGGUUGUAAACCUCUUUUCUCUGGGAAGAACACAAUGACGGUACCAGAGGAAUCAGCAUCGGCUAACUCCGUGCCAGCAGCCGCGGUAAUACGGAGGAUGCAAGCGUUAUCCGGAAUUAUUGGGCGUAAAGCGUCCGUAGGUGGUCUUGAAAGUCUAUUGUCAAAGCGCGGGGCUUAACCUCGUAAGGGCAGUAGAAACUAUGAGACUAGAGUUCGGUAGGGGUCAGGGGAAUUCCCAGUGUAGCGGUGAAAUGCGUAGAUAUUGGGAAGAACACCAGCGGCGAAAGCGCCUGACUGGGCCUGAACUGACACUGAUGGACGAAAGCUAGGGGAGCGAAAGGGAUUAGAUACCCCUGUAGUC